UCCUGACCUCAAGUAAUCCACCCGCCUCGGCCUCCCAAAGUGCUGUGAUUACAAGCGUGAGUGUGGCCAGCUUCCCUGAUUCUUAAUGCUGUUAUCCUAGUGCGGUGAUGCUCAGAGUCUGCUCCCUGGAACCGCAGCAUCAGUAUCACAUGGGAACCUGAUAGAAAUGCAGAUUCCCAGACCUAAGCAAGACAAGACGACUGCAACAGAGACUCCACGGGUGAAACCCAGCAAUCUGUGCUUUAACGAGCCCUCCAGAUGAUUCUUUAAACAAACGUUUUUAAGUUGACACACAAUAGUUACACAUAUUUAUGGGGUAUGUAGGGAUGCUUUGAUACCUGCAAUGUGCAGCAAUCAGAUCAUGGUAUUUAGCAUAUCCAUCAUCUCAAACAUUUAUCAUUUCUUUAUGUUCCUACAGAUGAUUCUGGUGCAAAUUCAAGUUUGAAAACCAAUGGCCUAGUGUAGGGUUGUCAAACCUGGAUGCAUAUGUAUUAGAUACAUCCGAGGGGCUUUAAAACGUACAACUAUCCCAGACAUAAAAGGCCAUAUGAUUCCAUUCACACCAAAUGUCCAGAAUAGGCAAAUACAUAGAGACGGAACACAGAGUAGUGGUUUCCCGGGGCUGGGGAGAAUGCGGAACUUGGCAGUGCGGGGCUUCUCUUGGGAAUGACGGAAGUAUUCUGGAAUCAGUGGGGAUGGCUGCACAACAUUGCAAAUAUACUAAAUACCACUUACUGGGGUUUGAAUACACCCUCCAGAGCUCAUGUGUUGGAAACUUAAUCCCUAAUCCAGCAAUGCUGACAGGUGAGAUCUUGAAGAGGUGAUCAGGUCACGAGGGCUCUGCCUCAUGAAUGGAUUAAUGUUGUUAUUGCAGGAGUGGGUUUGUGAUAAAAGCUGAGUUCAGCCUCUCCUGCUCUCUCUCACUCUCUUGCCCUUCUGCCUUCUGCCACAGGAUGACAUAGCACAAAGGCCCUUGACACAUGGGGGCCCCUGGACCUCAGACUUCCCAGCCUCCAGAACGAUGCUCUGUCUGUAACAUGAAAUGAAAAGAAUUCCUUCCAGACCCCUAGCCAAGUUUCACCUUAAGCUCGUUGACUCACAGAGGAAAUCCCUAUAGGAGACUGGAAAGAAGAUGUUGGAGCCAGAGGCUAUCUUUGAUUGUCAGGAAAUUCUUUCAAAUAGCAAACAUAAAUGCACACAAAGAAGCAAGGAGGAAGAAGACGGAACUGUGUAGAAAAGGGAACGGCCUGGAAUAGAGAAGAGAGACGGGUUCCAACUCAUGUAAAACUUCUCCAAUGGGAGACAAGGACACUGUUUGAGGGGAAAAUUCCUACACAAGCAAACAAACAGCAGAGGAUACCGGCCCCCCACCCCCUGCCCCAUCCAGGGUAGGAGCACAGUGGAUCACCUGCUGCCCUGUGUCUUGUGGCCUCUGUCCCUGGAAUCUCACUGAUGGAAAUGUACCAGUCCCUCAGGACUCCUUUCCCAUGUCACCCUCAUGAAGCCUUCUCUGAUAGCCCCACGCUCAGUAGAUCUUACCACAUAUGACUCGUGUUACUAUGAUUAUAUACAUGCCUUUCUCCUCACCAGCUUACGAUUCUCUUAAGGAUCAGGACUAUGUCUUGCUCAUUUUUACAUUUCCUAUAGUAUUGAAAGGGGGCAUAAAAGGUAUUGGAUAGAUUUUGAGAAUUGAGUGAGUAGAGUUUUUGCCUUGACACCUGCAGCUGCAGCAAUUACAAAAGCAGUGGGUCAUGCUGGCUGCCGGGCAGUACUUCUUCAGAGCUGGAAAUAACCCACAAGGAGACAUCAGGCUUUGGUGCAUUGACACACUAAAGUCGCUCAACCCUGACCCUGCCAGUAUGUCUUCAUUUGGGAAACUUUUUCAUCCCAAAGUUCCCCAGCUUGAAAAUGCCUUUUAAGCAGAGCUUAUUUUAUUUCCUUUCUGGAAUUCUUGACAUAGAGUGAAGGAACUGGAAGGGAGUUUCAAGAUCCCUGGGUGACCUCCUCAUUUUACAGAGAGAAAUCUGUCAAAAACUCACGCCCUCCCGGUGUCCUCUCCUCAGUGCUUUGGCCCACUUUCUGAUUCCUGCAAGGUUUAUCUUCCUGCUAAUUCUAUUCCCUGUGACCUCAGGCAACAUGCCUCAUUUCCUGAGGGAAUUCUCUCCUUAUCUGUAAAGUUUCUGCUCUUCCUUGGGCAAGGAGAGGAGAGGGGAAGGAGCCGGAACAGCCACUACAUUGAGGGACUGCCUGCCUUGAUGGUGCCCAUCACCAGCAGAGGAAUGACUCCAACAAAAAAAAAUCACAAAGAGUACUGGGCGUGGUGGCUCAUGCCUGUAAUCCC